UGUAAAAAUUUGCUGUAACUCAUGCAGUAAAAUACUGUGAUUUACAACAGUAAUAUGUUGUAAUAACGAUUUUACGAUAAUUAACUGUAUAAGUACGUUGCUGUACAGUAUAUUGCUGUAAACAUCAGUGUCGUAGAGCAUGGGAACAAAUAUCUACAGUAAGCUAGUGUAAAGGAGCGUGCAAAAAGCAUUGUGGGAUACAGCGCACAUGCGCAUUAGGCGGAUCGGCUGCAUAUGCGCGUAUGCGUUGCACGUGAUUGGCUCCCGCGCUAGCCCGCCACGCCGCGCCGCCAUUUUUAAUUUUCUGCAAAGAUUUGAGCUGAGAUAUAGCUGAGCUGGCCGGCCUGAUCCUGAGCAACGAAUCUGAAUCUGUUCUGUUCCUGGUCCUGAUCCUCGAGCUGGGAUAUUGAUGACCAAUAAGUCAAUUCCAAGGGGAUCCGAGUAUGCCAUGGAUUACUGCUGAAGUCACACAGUGUGCAUGCUGAAACACUAAUCAGACGGAUGCUCUACAUGGACAUCAUAUACCCAUGUACGUUUGUAAGCUAUGUAAUCAUUCUUCUGGAUCAUUGAAGCGGUUUUCUGAACACUUUUCAGUCCAUAGAAAUGUGGUGAAUUUCGAUUUCCCGUGUGGUGUUCCUGGCUGCAAUCGAACAUUCAGAAAUUAUUCAUCCUUCAAAACCCAUGUGCAUAGGGAUCAUCAACCAUUUUCAAGAAAAAAAGAUGCCCAGUUUUUCUGCGUUUCUACCUGGAAUUGUCCACUCUGUGCUGUAAAAUGUGAGGAAAUCCAUGACAUACUUUCUCAUCUUAGAGUUCAUAUCAAACACGGAGUUGAAAUACGCUGUCCUUUUGCCAAUUGCAAAAAACGUUUUUCAGUGAGGUCGUCUUUUGCGUCACAUAUAUCAAGAGUUCACAAUAAGUUAGACCAGAUUCAGUUAGACUCAACUUCAAGUGAAACUGGUACUGUGUUAACUGAAUCAAUAAAAAAAAUCCCACUUACAUUGAGUAUCUGAACCCUUUACUUUCACACACUUUCUUAAAAUUUUAUUUGUGUCUUUUUGCCCUUUUUAGACAUUUGCAAAUGUUAUGCUUGCAAAAGGGAUCAUGUACCUUUAAUAUGCAUUUCAAUUGAACUUAAUAUGAAACAUCACAAGUGAAAAUUGAAAUUUGAAAUCAAAUAUUUUGUUAGUGAGGGAGGUUAAAAAAGUCACGUGACUUCGUGGUAUUAAGGAAGCCGUGUGUUUAGCCUUGAUGCAAAGAGACCAACUACAGGGAGCCCAAACUUUUUUAAUAAAUUGUGUCUAGUGGUCAUUGAACUUCCUAGACAAAGCAUUAGCACAUGUAUUCUGUGAGCCUGGCAUGUGUGCAGCCUUGUCAUCAUAAGCAUUGCUUGAUUGUUUACUUACUGUUUUCCAAAAUAUGUUUUACAUUACUUGCAAUUUAGCAUUAUUUUACCUUAGUGAAUUUUCAUAUAUUUUAGUCUGUACAUGCAAUACACCUUAUAUUUAAUAAAUUUAAUAAGUCAUGAAAUAAAUGAAUUUGCCAAAUAUUAGGCCUAUAUUUAAGUAACCUAUAUUUUAUUUCGACAUAUUUCAAGUUAUAUAAUAAUAUAUUUUUUUUAAGUAACUUAUAUUUUAUUACGAUAUAUGUUACGUUAUAUGGUAAUAUGUUUUUUUAUCAUAUUUAAUACGUAGCAAUAUUGUAGCUAAACGAAUUUCAUAAUUUUAUGUUUUCAUUUUACAUGUACACAAAUUGAUCAUAUUUUCUAUUUUCUUUGUUCAUUGUGCACAUUGGUAAUUCUAUUUCAUUAAUUUCUGUAUAUCAUGUAUAUUUUCUUAUUGUCAAGUAUGUUUUACGGUUUUUGUUAUUUUGCACAGCCCCUUUGUAAACCAGCCGAGUAGCUGAAUAGGGCUUUUACCGUCAAUAAAUCAAUCAAUCAAUCAAUUGAAUGACAGCUCAUGAAGUUGAAACAAGUUUCUGUGCAGAAUUGGCAUGUAAAUGAGACAAAAAUACAGAAGAAUAUGAAACACGUAUUAAAGAUUACAAGUUUAAUAUAACAGAGCAACUCAAAUUAAAUGGGGUAUUAGUUCAAAAGAUAAAUUAAACAAAAAUAAAGUGAGUAAUGUCUUUUGGAGAGAUUCUACCAGGUAUAGAGAGUUUUCCUUGAUUCUGCCAGGUAUAUGGAGACUUUUCAUUGAUUGUAUUCUGAUAGUAGUUGUCGUUUAAUAGUGGCUUUAAAGGAAGAUAAAAGUGUAUAAAAUAUGUCUUGUUUACAAUUGAAGAUAAUUCUUUACAAUAGUUUUUUUACAAUUCAGAAUUUUAAAGUGAACAUAUUGUUGUCUGUUCGACAAAUAAUUUUUGACCCAAGAAAGUGCAGUGCCCCUAAGCCAUACGUUGUGAUUUAGCAUAUCAAUGCCUUAAAGCCGCUAUGUCUGCACAAUUGCAUGUGUUAUUCUGUCGUAUAAUUAAAUUAAUGCUAGGUCGGGUGAAUGAUUUUUUUUUAAAGCCAUAUUGGUUGGGAUUAAGCAAGUUAUGUGUAUUUCAGAAUUGGUAUAAUCUAAACAAUUUUUUCAAGAAUUUUUGAGAUACUGGAAGGAUGACUAUGGGUCUGUAGAUUCUUGAGUACUUGAACUUUUGCAGUUUUUAGUGGUUUUACUUGUUUUAAUGUUUUACUUGAUAGUUUCUUUGCAAGCAUUUUCAUAAUGUUACACUAUUUGAGAAACUUGUUUUAUGGAGCGUUGAUUACCCAAUAAAGACUUUAAUAAUGA